UACGUAGGGGGCAAGCGUUGUCCGGAAUCAUUGGGCGUAAAGCGCGCGUAGGCGGCCAGAUAAGUCCGGUGUGAAAGUCACAGGCUCAACCUGUGAAUGCCGCUGGAAACUGUCUGGCUUGAGUCCGGAAGGGGCGAGUGGAAUUCCUGGUGUAGCGGUGAAAUGCGCAGAUAUCAGGAGGAACACCAGUGGCGAAGGCGACUCACUGGACACGUAUUGACGCUGAGGUGCGAAAGCGUGGGGAGCAAACAGG
rnacentral:rRNA from 1 species